rfam:Heligmosomoides polygyrus genome assembly, scaffold: HPBE_contig0024260
GCGCCGGUGGUGUAAGGCGAACAUCGCUGCCCAGAAAGCAGAAGAUGCGGGUUCGAGUCCCGCCUGGCGCA